CUCCAGUCGCGGAUGCACACUCUCGAGAGGACCCGGCGUCCAGGCACGCACCCGGGCAGAGAUGAGGCUGAGUCACGCACAGGAAGGAACGGGUAGCUGGUGGACAGCAAAUCUUCUCUGAACAGAUCCAAGACAUCCGGAAAUCUUUCCAGAAAGUUUUUUCAGCAGCCACUGGAGAGAUGUUACUAACAGAAACAGUGUCCACCAAGGAGGACAGGAAGUGUUAGCAUAUACUUGGAAACUUCCUGAUAUGUUGCCCAGGCUGGACUCAAAUUCCUGGGCUCAAGUGAUCCUCCUGUCUUAGCCUCCUGAGUAGCUGGGACUUUAGGCAUGCCCCACCACACCCAGCAGCAAUAAAAUAUUUUAUAAUUAAGCCAUAGCUAUGCUGGUCAGUGCCAUGGGAACGUGUUCCAACCCAAUUCGCCUCCAACGGGACCUCAUAUUUCUCUCAAGCUUUCUGCCCCAGGAACUUCUCCAAGGAGAAGGUGCUCAGCCCUCCAACACACCCCCCU